GCACUGGUUUAGCUCAGUGGUUACUUCGAACUAAUUCUAUUUGAAUACAGCUCUCCAUCCCACACCGGGAUCGAACCACGGGCGCUGUCCAGUGUUUUG